rnacentral:rRNA from 1 species
CGGAGGAAAAGAAACCAACAGGGAUUGCCUUAGUAACGGCGAGUGAAGCGGCAAAAGCUCAAAUUUGAAAUCUGGCACCUUCGGUGUCCGAGUUGUAAUUUGAAGAAGGUAACUUUGGAGUUGGCUCUUGUCUAUGUUCCUUGGAACAGGACGUCACAGAGGGUGAGAAUCCCGUGCGAUGAGAUGCCCAAUUCUAUGUAAAGUGCUUUCGAAGAGUCGAGUUGUUUGGGAAUGCAGCUCUAAGUGGGUGGUAAAUUCCAUCUAAAGCUAAAUAUUGGCGAGAGACCGAUAGCGAACAAGUACAGUGAUGGAAAGAUGAAAAGAACUUUGAAAAGAGAGUGAAAAAGUACGUGAAAUUGUUGAAAGGGAAGGGCUUGAGAUCAGACUUGGUAUUUUGCGAUCCUUUCCUUCUUGGUUGGGUUCCUCGCAGCUUACUGGGCCAGCAUCGGUUUGGAUGGUAGGAUAAUGACUAAGGAAUGUGGCUCUACUUCGGUGGAGUGUUAUAGCCUUGGUUGAUACUGCCUGUCUAGACCGAGGACUGCGU